GUUCUCCCCAAGGAUUUGUAGUUAUUUUGGUCGGUGCUUCCUUCCGCUGCAAUUCCGUCUGUGGUUCACUGCCACUGGCCUUGCUUUUUCAACGAUAUAACUGUUUUCUUGUGAUUUUUGCUGCUGCAAUCCCGUCUGUGGUUCACUGCCACUGGCCCUGCUUUUCCAACGAUAUAACUGUUUUUUUGGUAACUUCUACCGCUAAGACUUUGUUGCUUUUUCCCUUUUCCCUAAAAACAUAAUAGUGCUACAAAGCUCAAUAACAAUAUGGAAACAAAUGUUAAUAAGCCACAAUAAUAUUGACAAUAAAUAAGAUUUCACUACGA